GAUGAACGCUAGCGGCAGGCUUAACUCAUGCAAGUCGAGGGGUAAUCACGCUUUCGGGCGUGAACGACCGGCGCACGGGUGCGUAACGCGUAUACAAUUUGCCUUAAACUGGGAGAUAGCCCGAAGAAAUUUGGAUUAAUAUCCCAUAACAUAUUUAGAUGGCAUCAUUUAGAUAUUAAAGUCACGGCGGUUUAAGAUGAGUAUGCGUCCUAUUAGCUAUUAUGUGAGGUAACGGCUUACAUAGGCAAUGAUAGGUAGGGGUUCUGAGAGGGAUACCCCCCACACUGGUACUGAGACACGGACCAGACUCCUACGGGAGGCAGCAGUGAGGAAUAUUGGACAAUGGGAGCAAUCCUGAUCCAGCCAUGCCGCGUGCAGGAAGACAGUCCUAUGGAUUGUAAACUGCUUUUAUACAGGAAGAAAAAGAGAGAUUCGUUCUCUCAUUGACGGUACUGUACGAAUAAGAAUCGGCUAACUCCGUGCCAGCAGCCGCGGUAAUACGGAGGAUUCAAGCGUUAUCCGGAAUCAUUGGGUUUAAAGGGUUCGUAGGCGGGACAAUAAGUCAGUGGUGAAAGUUUGUGGCUCAACCAUAAAAUUGCCAUUGAUACUGUUGUUCUUGAGUCAUUGUGAAGUGGUUAGAAUGUGUAGUGUAGCGGUGAAAUGCAUAGAUAUUACACAGAACACCAAUUGCGAAGGCAUAUCACUAACAAUGUACUGACGCUGAUGAACGAAAGCGUAGGUAGCCAACAGGAUUAGAUACCCUGGUAGUCUACGCCGUAAACUAUGGUUACUAGCUGUUUGUUGCGUCUUUGACGUGAUGAGUGGUUAAGCGAAAGUGAUAAGUAACCCACCUGGGGAGUACGUUUGCAAGAAUGAAACUCAAAGGAAUUGACGGGGGCCCGCACAAGCGGUGGAGCAUGUGGUUUAAUUCGAUGAUACGCGAGGAACCUUACCAAGGCUUAAAUGCAUAUUGACAGUCCACGAAAGCGGAUUUUCUUCGGACAAUUUGCAAGGUGCUGCAUGGUUGUCGUCAGCUCGUGCCGUGAGGUGUCAGGUUAAGUCCUAUAACGAGCGCAACCCCUGUGGUUAGUUACCAGCAUGUAAUGAUGGGGACUCUAGCCAGACUGCCGGUGCAAACCGUGAGGAAGGUGGGGAUGACGUCAAAUCAUCACGGCCCUUACGCCUUGGGCUACACACGUGCUACAAUGGUAUAUACAAUGAGCAGCCAUCUGGCGACAGAGCGCUAAUCUAUAAAGUAUAUCACAGUUCGAAUCGGAGUCUGCAACUCGACUCUGUGAAGCUGGAAUCGCUAGUAAUCGCACAUCAGCCAUGGUGCGGUGAAUACGUUCCCGGGCCUUGUACACACCGCCCGUCAAGCCAUGGAAGCUGGGGGUGCCUGAAGUCCGUAGCCGAAAGGAGCGGCCUAGGGUAAAACCGGUAACUGGGGCU
rnacentral:rRNA from 1 species